AUCAUGCGAUCUCUUCGGAAU
rnacentral:miRNA from 2 species